rnacentral:rRNA from 1 species
AUGCACGCUGGCGGCGUGCCUAAUACAUGCAAGUCGAGCGAACAGACGAGGAGCUUGCUCCUCUGACGUUAGCGGCGGACGGGUGAGUAACACGUGGAUAACCUACCUAUAAGACUGGGAUAACUUCGGGAAACCGGAGCUAAUACCGGAUAAUAUAUUGAACCGCAUGGUUCAAUAGUGAAAGACGGUUUUGCUGUCACUUAUAGAUGGAUCCGCGCCGCAUUAGCUAGUUGGUAAGGUAACGGCUUACCAAGGCAACGAUGCGUAGCCGACCUGAGAGGGUGAUCGGCCACACUGGAACUGAGACACGGUCCAGACUCCUACGGGAGGCAGCAGUAGGGAAUCUUCCGCAAUGGGCGGAAGCCUGACGGAGCAACGCCGCGUGAGUGAUGAAGGUCUUCGGAUCGUAAAACUCUGUUAUUAGGGAAGAACAAAUGUGUAAGUAACUAUGCACGUCUUGACGGUACCUAAUCAGAAAGCCACGGCUAACUACGUG